GACGAACGCUGGCGGCGUGCUUAACACAUGCAAGUCGAACGGUGAAGCGCCUUCCUUUUUGGUUGGUGUGGAUGAGUGGCGAACGGGUGAGUAACACGUGAGUAACCUGCCCCCUUCUUCUGGAUAACCGCAUGAAAGUGUGGCUAAUACGGGAUAUUCUGGUUCUGUCGCAUGAUGGGUCUGGGAAAGAUAUUGUUUCGGUGGGGGAUGGGCUCGCGGCCUAUCAGCUUGUUGGUGGGGUGAUGGCCUACCAAGGCGGUGACGGGUAGCCGGCCUGAGAGGGUGGACGGCCACAGUGGGACUGAGACAACGACAAGACUCCGAGAGGAGGCAGCAGUGGAGAAUAUUGCACAAUGGGCGAAAGGCUGCUGCAGCGACGCGGCGUGAGGGAUGGAGGCCUGCGGGUUGUGAACCUCUUUCGGCAGUGAAGCACGCCUGCCUGGUAUGUGGGUGGGUUGACGGUAGCUGGAUAAGAAGCGCCGGCUAACUACGUG
rnacentral:rRNA from 1 species